rnacentral:rRNA from 1 species
AACGAACGCUGGCGGCAUGCCUAACACAUGCAAGUCGAACGAGACCUUCGGGUCUAGUGGCGCACGGGUGCGUAACGCGUGGGAACUUGCCCUUAGGUUCGGAAUAACUCCCCGAAAGGGGUGCUAAUACCGGAUAAUGUCUUCGGACCAAAGAUUUAUCGCCUUUGGAUGGGCCCGCGUUGGAUUAGCUAGUUGGUAGGGUAAAAGCCUACCAAGGCGACGAUCCAUAGCUGGUCUGAGAGGAUGAUCAGCCACACUGGGACUGAGACACGGCCCAGACUCCUACGGGAGGCAGCAGUGGGGAAUAUUGGACAAUGGGCGAAAGCCUGAUCCAGCAAUGCCGCGUGAGUGAUGAAGGCCUUAGGGUUGUAAAGCUCUUUUACCCGGGAUGAUAAUGACAGUACCGGGAGAAUAAGCUCCGGCUAACUCCGU